GAGAGAGAGAGAGAGAGAGAGAGAGAGAGAAUUCUGUGAUCUUCAAAUUGUGAGAGAAAAACAAAAAAGGUGAUUGCCAUUAUUGCCAUUAGAAAGUCAUAAAAGGUGACUAUUGGAUUUUCAUAUAUAUACGCACAACCCGAGCAGGAAGAGGUAGACUAGAAGAGAAGAAAAUAAAUGCAGUGGCUGUGGAAGAAAGUUGGGACUGUGAAUAUUUCUUUCAAUUUUGGGUGUGGUGUCACACAGGAUUAUUUUUCUUCUCUACAUAAUACAAAUUGAAAUUUUCUCUAAGAUAUAUUUUGAAUUUGUAUUCAAAUUGGAUUCUCACAAGGUUGAUCAAAUUGUUAAUUUAUGGUGAGAUAAAUUGUUGUCUUAGAGAUAGAUUAUUGUGGUAUUUCCAAUUUGUGGAAAAUUCAAGUUUUUGGGGCAUAAACUUGAAUAUUGUAAUCUAUAUUAAUUAUUAUAGUGGAUUUUGGCCGGAGUUGCGUUUU
rnacentral:lncRNA from 1 species